CUUUGUCGCGUACGCACAGCAGCACGUUCUCGGGUUUGAUGUCUGCGUGGAUGAUCCGGCAGCGCCUGUGCAGGAAGUGCAGCCCUGCCAGCACCUGCGGGAGCCACGCAGAGCCUCGGAUGCAGCCAUAGGGGAGUUCAAGGCAGAUGACCCCAGGAUGAAAACGAUGACCUGGUGCCAACAGUCCCGUGCUGCCCUCACCCAGUCAGAGCUCAGUUCUCACCUGCUGUAAAGAUUUCUUCACGAAAGGCAAAGGCAGUCCCUGGGCUGCAUAGCUUCCCAUCAGGCAUCGCAGGGAAGGACCCAGGGCCUCAAAUACCAAGCACAUAUGUGGGAAGGAGUCAUGGAUUCACCAACAGAGAGAAGGUUGCUAUUACCAGCCUUUUAUCCCUCACCAGAGCAGCCAAAUAUCUCCCUAGCCAACCUCCCCCCUCCAGCCACCUUCACGUGCCCUGGUUUUACACCAUCCUGUGACUGCCCAGCACAAGCCCAAGCUGUGCUGACCCAGCACCACUCGGAGCAGAAGGAUAUGAAAGCCGUUCUUUCCGAUCAUUCUGAAGUCAUCUAACAAACAGACAAUGUUUUCUCCUGCCCGGUCCUUCUUCUUCAUGCUGCUCACCUGAGGGGGAGGAUUCCAAGAAAGCUGCAAUUAGAGACAGCGAACAAGGAUGCCUUGCACCCGUUUUGUCCUGUUCUACAGCCUCUCUCUUCUAGGGGGUGACACUUAUGAGAAACCUCAUGAAAACAAUAUCAAGCAAACCAGGCUCCAAGCACACAAGCAAAGUCUGUUACCACAGAACGAAUUUCUGUACAUCGUCUUCCCCUGGACCGGCCGUAACCAUGGGCGAUUUGGGUUUGGUUUUUGAGCAGCUGCCGGAUCCGCCUGCGCCAGCACCAGGAGGUGUGUGGAAGGCGGGGGGACCGCACCGCCCCUUCUGGCAGCGCUGCGGGCACGGACCCUGUGCUGGUGGAAGCGGCCCUGGGAACCAGCUACAUUCUGCUGAAUGGAAGGCGUGUCUUUUGGAGAGAAGCAAUAAGAAAUUAAGGCCCAGCUCCUCAGGCUGAGACCUGGAAGAAGAAGGGAUGAUGAGACUGAUGGUCUGAACUCCGCAGCCAUCCCCACGGAGCAAAGCACAGAUCCUGUGAAUAUUACUUACGCAUCGGAGGAGAGAGACCUCAUCCUGGGCAGCCUCAGC